GACGAACGCUGGCGGCGUGCUUAACACAUGCAAGUCGAACGGAAAGGCCCCUUCGGGGGUGCUCGAGUGGCGAACGGGUGAGUAACACGUGGGUGAUCUGCCCUGCACUCUGGGAUAAGCUUGGGAAACUGGGUCUAAUACCGGAUAGGACCAUGGGAUGCAUGUUCUGUGGUGGAAAGCUUUUGCGGUGUGGGAUGGGCCCGCGGCCUAUCAGCUUGUUGGUGGGGUGAUGGCCUACCAAGGCGACGACGGGUAGCCGGCCUGAGAGGGUGUCCGGCCACACUGGGACUGAGAUACGGCCCAGACUCCUACGGGAGGCAGCAGUGGGGAAUAUUGCACAAUGGGCGCAAGCCUGAUGCAGCGACGCCGCGUGGGGGAUGACGGCCUUCGGGUUGUAAACCUCUUUCAGUAUCGGCGAAGCUCCGUGGUUUUCUGCGGGGUGACGGUAGGUACAGAAGAAGCACCGGCCAACUACGUGC
rnacentral:rRNA from 1 species